AACGCAUGCAAUAACUGGUGCAUUGCUGUUGACAUAAAAUUGAAGCCAAAUGCGCGCAGGUACAUCGAAUUCAAAUUACUGUUUCGCGGACAUUUUUUGGAUAGCUAAAGUAAAAUGUAUUCGAAUUCUAGACACUCAGCUGGUGCUUUUAUUCGGAUUCUGUACGUACAUUCAUUCGAUAUUAUAUAUUUCUAAGUUAGGUAAACAAUGUCUUCGACUGUUCUUGACUGAUUUCUUUCGUUAUCAAUUGACCGUCACUCAUUUGCGAAAGAAUUGCAGCGGCAGCCUCUAAAGAUUCUUCAAUUCAGUCUCAAAGUCAUCCUCAUUAAGAAAUGUCACCCUGGUGUACUGUAUUUCUUUUGAAGCUGUUUCAUUUUUACUGCUCAUUCAUAAUAGCCGUGCCAGAUGCACGUCUUCCAGCAAUUUUUCAAGUUUUGACAGGACUAAUGAAUAGACUUCUAUAUUAUCAUCAUGACCAUCAUGGAUACGAGAUUUUGCAAUGCUUCAUUUGCAGGACAGGUCCUCUACUUUGCAUCGUCUAUUAGUACUGCCAAUGGAUCAAGUUUAUUUUCUACAUCUGUUUCAUCAGAGACAGCAGCAGCAGAGCUGCAUGGCCCCAGACCUUUCACUUGACAGUUUUUCAUCAUGCGAAGAUAUUGACUUAUCAGCGUCGAAUUCCGUAUAUCGCUUUCUUUUUCACUAAAUAAAGUUUGACCUUUGUCAGAUUCAUCUGUUUCACCUAUGUCAGACCUGUGUCAAAAAACAUCACAUCUACCAAGGGAAAUAUUG